ACUCUCGGCAACAGAUAUCUCAGGUCUUGCAUAGAUAAAGAAUGUAGCAAAAUUCGAUACUUAGUGUAAAUUGCAGAAUCCCGUGAACCAUAGAGUAUUUGCAUGCAAGUUGCGCCCGAAGCCAUUAGGCCGAGGGCACGUCUGCCUUGUCAUCACGCAUCGUGUCGUCCUCCUCGCAUCGCUCCUCAAUCACGGGGCUCGCUGUUGUCAUGGGGCGAAUACUAGCUACCGUGCACCGCGAGCUUACGGCUAGCCUAAAUGCAUGUCCACAUCGACAGACGUUAUGACAACUGGUGGUUGUAUCUCAACUCUUUUAUUUGUUUCAUCUAUAGCCCAUCGCUCGUCUAGAAUCCAGUUCCCUUUUACGCUUAGGCACUCCGACUGCGACCCUAGGUCAGGCGGGAUUAACCAUUGAGUUUCAGUAUAUCAAUAAGUGAAGGAAAAUAAACUUAUAAGGAUUUCCUUAGUAACGGCGAGCGUACCGAGAACAGCCUAGCCUUAGAAUUGGGUGGCUCCGUCAUCCGAAUUGUAGUUUGGAGAAGUGUCCUCAGCGGAGGACCAGGCCCAAAUCCCCUGGAAAGGGGGCGCCCGAGAGAGUGAGAGCCACCUUAUGCAUGGACCCUACCACACCAUGAGGCACUAUCUACGAGUUGGGUUGUUUGGGAAUGCUGCCCAAAUAAGGCGGUGAAUUUCGUCCAAGGCUAAAUACAAACAACAGACCGAUAGCAAACAAGUACCACGAAUGAAAGAUGAAAAGGACUUUGAAAAGAGAGUCAAAGAGUGCUUGAAAUUAUCGAGAGAGAAGCAGAUGGGGGCCGAAGAUGCGCGCCGUUCGGAUAUGGAACGACGAUAAUUUUGUCCGUCGAUCGACUUGGGGCAUGGAACAGCGUGGAUUGGGGGCGUCGACAUCUGCGCGCUACGGACGCUGGCCUGUGGCUCCCUAUUUGACCCGUCUUAAAAAAUGGACCAAGAAGUCUGACAUGUGUGAGAGUCAUCGGGCGAGUAAACUCGUAAGGCGUAAAGAAGCUAAUUGGUGGUAUCCCCCCGAGGGGUGCACCACCGACCGACCUUGAUCUUUUGAGAAGGGUUCGAGUGUGAGCAUACCUGUCGAGAACCGAAAGAUGGUGAAAUAUGCCUGAGCUGGGCGAAGCCAGAUGAAACUCUGGUGAAGGACCGCAGCAAUACUGACAUGCAAAUCAUUUGUCUGACUAGGGUGUAGGGCCCGUGGCCGCUUUGUCGAGCCAUGCCACAAAAUGAAAAGCUCCAAGUAGGACAUUUUUGGUAAGAAGAACUGGCGAUGCGGGAUGAACCAAAAGCUGGGUUACGAUGCCAAAUUGCAUGCUAACUUAUAUCCCCACAAAGGGUGUUGGUUGAUUAAGACAGUAGGACGGUGGUCAUGGAAGUCAAAAUCCGCUAAGAAGUGUGUAACAACUCACCUACUGAAUAAACUAUCCUCAAAAAUGGAUGGCGCUUAAGCACGCGACCUACACUCGACGUUGAGGAAAGUUCCAGGCCCCGAUGAGUAGGAGGGCGUGGUGGUCGCUGCAAAACCUUAUGCACGAGCUUGGGCAGAGCGGGGUUCGGUGCAUAUAUUGAGGGUAGUAGUUAGCAAAUAUUCAAAUGAGAACUUUGAAGGCCAAAGAGGGGAAAGGUUCCAUGUGAACAACACUUGCACACAGGUUAGUCGAUCCUAAGGGUCGGGGGAACCCCAACAGAUAGCGCCUUUUGCACGUACUCAAAAAGGGAAUAGGGUUUAAAUUUCUGGACCGGGAUGUGGCGGUCGGCGGCAAUGUUAGGAAGUUCGGAGACAUCGGCGGAAGCCUUAGGAAGAGUAAUCUUUUCUAUUUUACAGCCUGCCCACCCUAGAAUCGGAUCAGCAGGAGGUAAGGUCAAGCAGCUGGAAGAGCAUCGCACGUCGCGUGGUGUUCGGUGCACUACCAUCGGCCCUUGAAAAUCUAGAGGACCGAUUUCCGUCCACGCCUGGUCGUACUCAUAACCACAUCAGGUCUCCAAGGGGAACAUCCUCUGAUCGAUGGAAUAAUAUAGGCAAGGAAAGUUGACAAAAUGGAUCCAUAACUUCUGGAAAAGGAUUGACACUAAGGGAUGGGCACGGGGGUCCCAGUCCUAAACUCAUCGGCAGUCGGUGGACUACUCGAGCUACUCCCGUAGCGAGAGCGAGUCGCCACAUGCCAGUUGAGGGACAGACUGGGAACGGUUCCUUCGGGGGCUUUCCCCACGCGUCGAACAUCUAAUUCAGAACUGGUACGGACAAGGAGAAUCCGACUGUUUAUUUAAAACAAAGGAUUGCGAUGGUACCAACGGAUGUUCACGCAUUGUGAUUUCUACUCAGUGCUCUUAAUGUCAAAGUGAAGAAAUUUAACUAAGUGCGGGUAAACGGCGGGAGUAACUAUGACUCUCUUAAGGUAGCCAAAUGCCUUUUAAUCUAAUUUGUGACGUGCAUAAAUGGAUUAAAGAGAUUCCUACUAUCAUUGUCUACUAUCCAGCGAAACCACAACCAAGGGAAUGGGCUUGGCAGAAUCAACGGGGAAAGAAGAUCCUCUUGAGCUUGACUCUACUCCGACUUUGUGAAAUGACUUGAGAGGUGUAGUAUAAGUGGGAACCGAAAGGCGAAAGUUAAAUACCACUACUUUUAAUGUUAUUUUACUUAUUCCAUAAAUCAGAAGCGGGGCACUACCCCUUAUUUUCCAGAGAGAAUGAGAGCCCCAUUAUGCCUGAAUCCUAUCGCACCAUGAGGCAUUAUCUACGAGUUUGGUUGUUUGGAAAUGCAGCCUAAAUUGGGUGGUGAAUUCCAUCCAUUGCUAAAUACGGGCGACAGGUCGAUAGUGAACAAGUACCGCGAGGGAAAGAUGAAAAGUACUUUGAAAAGAGAGUCAAAGAAUGCUACGAUGAGUCAUGAUAACUCAAUGGAUCGCACGACCAUCAUGCCAGCGACGCAUCAUUCAAAUUUUUUUCCUAUCAAGUUUCGAUGAUAGGAUAGUGGCCUACCAUGGUGGUGAUGGGUGAUGGAGAAUUAGGGUUCAUUUUCAGAGAGGGAGCUUGAGAAACAACUACCACAUCUAAGGAAGGCAGCAGGCACGCAAAUUACCCAAUCCUAACAUGGGGAGGUAGUGAUAAUAAAUAAAAAUACUGGGCUCAAUGAGUCUGGUAAUUGGAAUGAGUACAAUCUAAAUCCCUUAAUGUGGAUCCAUUGGAGAGAGAGUCUGGUGCUAGCAGCCACGGUAACUCCAUCACUAAUAUCGUAUAUUUAAGUUGUUGCAGUUAAAAAGUUCAAAGUUUGACUUUGGGAUUGGACGGCCGAUCCGCCUAUGGUGUGCAUUAGUCGUGUCGUCCCUUCUGUCGGCGAUGCGCUCCUGGCCUUAACUGGCUGGGAUGUGCCUCCGGCGCUAUUACUUUGAAGAAAUUAGAGUGCUUAAAGCAAGCCUACGCUCUGUAUACAUUAGCAUGGGAUAACAUUAUAGGAUUUCAGUCCUAUUACGUUGGCCUUUGGUUUU
rnacentral:rRNA from 1 species